UCACAGAGACCUCUAAGGUUAAAGUGCCAA
rnacentral:piRNA from 1 species